rnacentral:tRNA from 2 species
GCUGGCGUAGCUCAAUUGGUAGAGCACCUGAUUUGUAAUCAGGGGGUUGCGGGUUCAAGUCCCAUCGCCAGCU